CGGAACUAGGGUGUUGUUAGUGAGAAGCGGGAACUGUAGACUUGAGACAUCUUUGGGAGGUAAAAUUGCCAGGAGUUGGGGUCAGCUUGGACGGCCCAGAAGUGGUCUGUCGGGGUGCACGCUCCACGCAAGCCUGAGAAGUGUAUUCGCUGUGGGUGGGUGAAGCCGUCUACAGGUGUCCAUCAAGUCCAGUGGAUCUGACCUGCUGUCGGGUACACGACGUCCGCGCCCAUUCUCUGCCCGCUGGAUCUGACCGCUUCUGACGAGGGUGUGGAUUCAUCUGCUUCUCCGCGCAGUUUUUUUACAGAAUUGUCACAGUUAAUAAACAAAUAUUGAUGCGUAAUUAUUAACUAGAAUCCUAUUUCAUUCGAGUUCCUGCGUUCACAGCUCGGUGUCUGUGCCAGUGCUUCUGUCUCUCACAGCCCUCGGUGACCGACCAGAGAGAAGGUAAAUAAAGGCCUAAGAAGAGAAGAAGGAGGGAGAGUGAGUGCUGACCUCAUGUUGGGCAGGAGCUGACAUGCACCCCCUCACUGAACCUCACGUCCACCCUGAGAGAGACCGGUUAUCCUCAUCCAAAGGUCGAGGAGUCUUUGCCUUAAGCCAUGCAGCUAGGAAGCGAUGUGGCCAGAAGUCAGCUCUGCACCUGUCUGGGGCACAAGCAGUCCUCCAUAAGGAAACUGCCACCACAUACUCCAUUCUGAGCAGCCAGGAAGCUCUUGUCAGCUGAGACCUCAGAGGAAAGGAACAUGGACAGAAGCAGAUCGGUGAUCCAGACAGAAAACAGGUUUUCAAAUGCCAGAGAACAAACAAGGUAUAGAAGUGAGGAAGUCAUUGUUAUAGAGAUCUGGUGUUGGUUGUACUCCUGUGAAGGGCCAGGGCACCUCCUUUUUCCCUACCUGUCCCCAUCCCCAGCUUCCCACUCAAGUCCCAACACAAAACCCAGCUUGGUUGAGAGUAUGGAAAGCUGGACCAUUAGGUUAUGUGCAGAUAUUCUUCCAAUAGAGUGAUUAAGGUUCAACCCAAAGCUGCAAGGACUAUUUGGAUUACUCUAUUUGUCCAGGAUCCUGUGUGAGAGUAGGAUCCUGUACUCAGAACUAUGUUAGAAUCAGUCUUCAGUUUAAAUACCUGGUAAAUGGAGAUAAGUUUUCUUUCGCAUCUGGCAAAUGGAAGCAGUAGGUUGGAUGAGACAUGUGAAGGACCUAAAACAGGAUUUAUUGCAAAGUGAACUUAGUACCUAGGAUCUGGAUUCCAAGUUUAAUGAGUGGGCAGAGCCCUUAAGACAGGGAAACGCUCUUCUUUGCUGCCAUCUCGUGUACAUUUUCGGAAUAACACCCAUGUAUGUCAUGAUGAAAAGCUAUUGUCAGCUGCCAUCUCGUGGACAUCUUGGGGAUAAUACCAGUGUGUAUGUCAAAAAGUUAUUCUCUGUUGCCAUCUGGUGGGCAUUUUAAACAUAACACAAGAGUGCAUGUCAUAAAAAGUUAUUUAUUCUCUUCUGUCAUCUUGUGGGCAUCUUGAGAAUAACACUCGAAUGUAUGUCAUCAUGAAAAGAUAUUCUCUGAUAACAUCUGGUGGGCAUUUCGAAAAUAACAUCCAAGUGUAUGUCAUCAUAAAAAGUUAAUCUCUACUGCCAUCUCAUGUGCAGAUUUUGAAUAACACCCGAAAGUGUGUCAUUACGAAAACUUAUUCUCUACUACUAAUUUGUGUGCAUCCUAAAAUAACACCCAAAUGUAUGUCAUGAAAGGUCAUUCUCUGCUGUUAUCUCGUGUGCAUCUUGGAAAUAACGCCGAAUAAUGUACAUCAUGAAGUCCUCUCUACUGCCAUCUCAUGUACAUUUUAGUACGCUUGAGUAUAUGUCAUCAUGAAAAGUAAUUCUGUGCUGCUGUCUUGUGGGCAUAUUGGGAAUAACGUCUGAGUGUUUGUCAUCACGAAAUGUUAUUCUUUGCUGCCAUCUCCUGAGCAUCUCAGGAAUAACACCCAGUAUACAUCACGAAGUUUUUUCUGCUGCCAUCUCGUGGGCUUUUUGAAAAUUAUGUUCCAGUGUAAUUUGUCAUGAAAGUUUUUUUCUGAUGUUAUCUUGUGGGCUUUUGGAAAGUAAUACGUGCGUGUAUGUCAUCACAAAAAUUUAAUCUCUGCUACUAUCUCGUGUUCAUUUAGAAAAUAAUAUGGGAGGGUAUAUUCUGAAAAGUUAUCUGUGUUGCCACCUCUUGUAUGUUUAGAGAAUAACACCUGAGUGCAUGUCAUAAAAAAAGUUAUUGUCUGCUGUCAACUCAUGUGCAUUUCGAAAAGGAAACCUGAAUUUAUGUCAUCGUGAAACGUUAUCCUCUGCUGCCAACUCUUGUAUAUUUAGAAGUACACCCAUGUGUUUGUCAUCAUGAAAUGUUAUUCUUUGCUGUCAUCUCAUGUGCAUCUCGGGAAUAAAUGCUCAAUGUACAUUAUAA